UUUGGCCCCAGUAACGGCGAGUGAAGCGGCAACAGCUCAAAUUUGAAAUCUGGCCCCCAGGGCCCGAGUUGUAAUUUGCAGAGGAUGCUUUGGGCGAGGUGCCUUCCGAGUUCCCUGGAACGGGACGCCAUAGAGGGUGAGAGCCCCGUCUGGUCGGACACCGAGCCUGUGUAAAGCUCCUUCGACGAGUCGAGUAGUUUGGGAAUGCUGCUCAAAAUGGGAGGUAUAUGUCUUCUAAAGCUAAAUAUUGGCCAGAGACCGAUAGCGCACAAGUAGAGUGAUCGAAAGAUGAAAAGCACUUUGAAAAGAGGGUUAAAAAGUACGUGAAAUUGUUGAAAGGGAAGCGCCUAUGACCAGACUUGGGCCCGGUGAAUCAUCCAGCGUUCUCGCUGGUGCACUUUGCCGGGCACAGGCCAGCAUCAGUUUGGCGCGGGGGACAAAGGCUUCGGGAAUGUAGCUCCCUCGGGAGUGUUAUAGCCCGCUGCGCAAUACCCUGCGCCGGACUGAGGUACGCGCAUCGCAAGGAUGCUGGCGUAAUGGUCAUCAGCGACCCGUCUUGAAACACGGACCAAGGAGUCGUCUUCGUAUGCGAGUGUUCGGGUGUCAAACCCCUACGCGUAAUGAAAGUGAACGCAGGUGAGAGCUUCGGCGCAUCAUCGACCGAUCCUGAUGUUCUCGGAUGGAUUUGAGUAAGAGCAUACGGGGCCGGACCCGAAAGAAGGUGAACUAUGCCUGUAUAGGGUGAAGCCAGAGGAAACUCUGGUGGAGGCUCGCAGCGGUUCUGACGUGCGAAUCGAUCGUCAAAUAUGGGCAUGGGGGCGAAAGACUAAUCGAACCUUCUAGUAGCUGGUUCGCGU
rnacentral:rRNA from 1 species